AGAAACUUUGCAUUGGGUAUCCGGAUUAUUUUUCCAUUCUGAUGCCACUUGAAGAACUUACAGCAUUGCUAAACUCACUCACUAGCAAUUGUUUAAGAUCCCAUUAAACAAGGGAGCUUUCACUAAACAUAAUCAUGGCUUUCUAGUGGGGACUUGUAACAGCCAUGCACAGAUUCUCUCAAAGUUCUAGUCAGCAAUCUAAUAAAACAUCUACCUAAAGACGUUAUGCCAACUUCUUAGUAGUCUCUGACCAGAUAAUAGUAGUCUCAAGACCUUAUAUCAAAUGAUAAAUCUUGAAAUCUACUCAGCAAAUUUGACUUGUAGUUCCCAACUUCAGCAUCCUCACCAGAUUCUUGGGUGGACUUGAUGAUUGACAUGGCUCCAGCUUGAUGCAAGACAACAGCAGCCGCAUCUGAUUUGGAUAUUGCAAAAAGAGCCUUCAAGGCUUCCUUCCUCGUGCGAUCAUCUCUGGCAGACUCUAACAUGUUUAAAAGAUGUUGAGCUCCACCAAUAUCAACUAUUUUCAUCCUUCUUUCGUCAUCUAUAGCAAAACGAGCCAAUCUGGACGCACCCAUUCUUUUAAAUAAUGGAUCCUUGACUUGUAGUAGUGAGACAGACUGCUGCAUCAGAUUGUCUCCCAUGUAUGGGAAAAUUUGAUACCCAAUAACUGUAGCAGUCCCAGCAAAAAUUAACUUUAAAA
rnacentral:misc_RNA from 1 species